rnacentral:rRNA from 1 species
CUACAGGGGUUUCUAAUCCUGUUCGAUACCCGCACUUUCGAGCUUCAGCGUCAGUAGUGCUCCCGUCAGCUGCCUUCGCAAUCGGAGUUCUUCGUCAUAUCUAAGCAUUUCACCGCUACACGACGAAUUCCGCCAACGUUGCGCACACUCAAGCUCUGCAGUUCGCGCUGCAAGUUACCGGUUGAGCCGGCAAAUUUCACAACACGCUUACAAAGCGGCCUACGCUCCCUUUAAACCCAAUAAAUCCGGAUAACGCCCGGACCUUCCGUAUUACCGCGGCUGCUGGCAC